AAAAAAAAAUGUCAGCGCUCAGAGGAUCCACAUGUUUAUUCAAACGGAUACUUUCUAAAGGGACAAUAACUAAUAGUAAUUUAUCUGAAAGUCGUAGGACUAUAUCGAGUUUACAAUAUAUAUAUCGACCCAAUAGUUUACGGUCUCCUUUAGGAGUUUGUGCGUGUGUGUUCUUUCGAAGGUCGAACGAUCAUUGGAUUCACACUAGAAAUGUUUUGUAUAACGACAGUGUUACGUCAGACUCAAAAGUGAACUCUGAAAAAGAAGAUGCUAAAAAAAAACCCAAAUGGAAGAAGUAUGGGGAAUACUUUAUGUGGUUUAACCUUGCAUUUUUCUCUGCAGGGGCUGUAUAUAGCCUCUAUAUUUUAGGCGUGCCUCCAACUGAUCCAGAAGGAAAUGUUGUUGGUGAUGAGUUCGGGAAAGGGUUUUCCAUUAAAAGAAGUAUUGCCAACUUCAAAAUGAAGAAACAGGAGAUAGAGGAGCCCUCCCGGAAGAAACUGCUCCCUGAGCCCCUUCAGCCGCCGUUUGUCCAGCCUCCCUAUACACUGGUGUUAGAGAUCACAGGCAUCCUCGUCAAGCCAGAGUGGACGGUAAGCUAAAACAGUGGACCCCACUUAAUAUAAUACUUAUUAUAUUAGAAACAGUUACUAUAUAAACCAUACUACUGUGGAAUCAUUUUUAUUCGUUUAUCAAUUUUGUUGAUAUAAAGUUUGGGAUAAUAUUAUACUAAUAUAAUCAAUGUUGCCCGAAAACACAGUCAACAUUUGUUUUGUUAUAUGAAGAAACAAACCAAAAUUUAAGAAAGUAAUUGAAAAGAGAUCGCCGUAAUUUUCUCAGCUCAACAAAGAAUUCACAAAUUCAAUUUUGUGUAAAGUUCAUUUCCAAAAUAUCCUCAGCAUCAAACGGUCAAUGGUGAUAUUCCUCCGACCGUAAGAAUUCUACCUGAUUUUACUUCACAGUAAUUCGCAAAUCCUUAUAUCCGUUAUGAUAGCAAACCGUUGCAUUGCGCGUCCGUUAUUUACUUGCCUUGAUUGACUGUCUAUUAUGAUGUCACCUUCUUUUGGAGUCGCGAAGAAUUAUUUACGUCAUCGUUUACGAAUCAACAAAUCAGAGGCAAUUAUUUGAAAUAGAAGGAAUGUUCUCUAGAUAUUAUUCCUAGCCGGUCAAUAUCAAAAAAAUAUUGACCGGUCAAUAUUUUUCGGACGAGCUAAUAUUACAAUUAUCGACUAUUCGUCUAUAUAGAGUUAUAUAGUGAGAAUAUACUACUGAAUAUAACAAUAAUAAAUAUGAAACUAAUGCUUUUAUAUACGUUUGUGAGGAUAUAAUUUCUUGGGCAAGGGUUACCAAGGAAAGCCACAAACAUUGGUCCCCACGAACAAUGAUGAUUCCACAGUAUAUGAAUGGCUGCAAUCUGUCUGUUACAAAAUACUUUUUGGAUUAAGUUGAAUGUCUGCAAUGCAUAUUAUAUUAAGAUAAAGACAGGAUGGCGGUUUAAAAAACGACCCGGUGUGGACUACUUCCUGCAGGCGAUUGGCCCACCUCUGUUUGAAACUGUUGUAUACACCUCAGAAACUGGCAUGAAUGCCAUACCUGUUAUUCACUCGUUGGACCAGCAGGGAAAUAUAAUGUACAAGUUGUACAGAGAUGCCACUCUGUAUGACGGCAAAGACCAUGUCAAGGAUUUGUCCUACCUGAACAGAGACUUGAGUAAAGUGAUCAUGAUUGACUGCAAGUCAAAAGCUGUGAAUCUCCAGCGGAACAAUGCGUUUGUCCUGAAGGAGUGGGACGGGGACGAGAACGACACCUCUCUCUUUGAUCUCGCCUCAUUCCUACAAACUUUGGCUCACAGUAAAGUAGAUGAUGUACGGUCGGUGCUGGAAUAUUACAUGCAGUUUGAUGAUCCUAUGGCCAAAUUUAGAGAAAAUCAACUUAUUUUACAGGAAGAGCAGGAGAAACAGAGAAUAAUGCAGGAGAGACCCAAGCAGAAAUCACCUCUGGAUUUUGCCAGGUCAUUCAAGAGGUGAUGUUCCCUGAAAAUAACUGUUUAAUCAAAGAAAAACUGGUAGUGUUUGGAACAUACAAUUUGAAGGAAAAUGUAGAGAAAGUCUGUAUCAGAUGUCAAUUGUGCUUGUUGCAAGUCUGAGACUUGUAAAUCAAUUUUCUUUUAAGAUGUACAUUUAUGCUAUUUCAGUUCAAGUGAAAUAAAUGUAUAAUACAAC
rnacentral:misc_RNA from 1 species